UACGAAGGGGGCUAGCGUUGUUCGGAAUUACUGGGCGUGAAGCGCGCGCAGGCGGUCUUCCAAGUCAGUGGUGAAAGCCCGGAGCUCAACUCCGGAACUGCCAUUGAAACUGUUGGACUUGAGUACGAGAGAGGUGAGUGGAAUUCCCAGUGUAGAGGUGAAAUUCGUAGAUAUUGGGAAGAACACCGGUGGCGAAGGCGGCUCACUGGCUCGUAACUGACGCUCAGGCGCGACAGCGUGGGGAUCAAACAGG
rnacentral:rRNA from 1 species